GUAAGGAAUAUUGGUCAAUGGAGGCAACUCUGAACCAGCCAUGCCGCGUGCAGGAAGACGGCCCUCUGGGUUGUAAACUGCUUUUAUCCGGGAAUAAACCUGCCUUCGUGAAGGUAGCUGAAUGUACCGGAAGAAUAAGGAUCGGCUAACUCCGUGCCAGCAGCCGCGGUAAUACGGAGGAUCCAAGCGUUAUCCGGAUUUAUUGGGUUUAAAGGGUGCGUAGGCGGCCUGUUAAGUCAGGGGUGAAAGACGGUGGCUCAACCAUCGCAGUGCCGUUGAUACUGAUGGGCUUGAAUGGACUAGAGGUAGGCGGAAUGUGACAAGUAGCGGUGAAAUGCAUAGAUAUGUCACAGAACACCGAUUGCGAAGGCAGCUUACUAUGGUCCUAUUGACGCUGAGGCACGAAAGCGUGGGGAUCGAACAGGAUUAGAUACCCGGGUAGUCC
rnacentral:rRNA from 1 species